AAGGGCUGCAGUAUAUUGACUGUACAAAGGUAGCAUAAUCAUUAGUCUCUUAAUUGGUGACUUGUAUGAAAGAUUGGAUGAAAUAUAAACUGUCUCUUUAUUAUUUAUAGAAUUUAAUUUUUUAAUUAAAAAGUUAAAAUAAUUUUAAAAGACGAGAAGACCCUAUAGAGUUUUAUAAAUUUUUUAAAAGUAAUUUUUAAAUAAAUAAUAAAUAAAAAUUAAAAAAUUUAUUUUGUUGGGGUGAUAGAAAAAUUUAAAAAACUUUUUUUAUAAUAUUAACAUAAAUAAGUGAAAAUAAGAUCCAAAAUUUUUGAUUGAAAGAAUAAAUUACCUUAGGGAUAACAGCGUAAUUUUUUUUUUUAGUUCAAAUAAAAAA
rnacentral:rRNA from 1 species